GGUUAAGCGACUAAGCGUACACGGUGGAUGCCCUGGCAGUCAGAGGCGAUGAAGGACGUGCUAAUCUGCGAUAAGCGUCGGUGAGGUGAUAUGAACCGUUAUAACCGGCGAUUUCCGAAUGGGGAAACCCAGUGUGUUUCGACACACUAUCAUUAACUGAAUCCAUAGGUUAAUGAGGCGAACCGGGGAACUGAAACAUCUAAGUACCCCGAGGAAAAGAAAUCAACCGAGAUUCCCCCAGUAGCGGCGAGCGAACGGGGAGGAGCCCAGAGCCUGAAUCAGUGUGUGUGUUAGUGGAAGCGUCUGGAAAGGCGUGCGAUACAGGGUGACAGCCCCGUACACAAAAAUGCACAUAUUGUGAGCUCGAUGAGUAGGGCGGGACACGUGGUAUCCUGUCUGAAUAUGGGGGACCAUCCUCCAAGGCUAAAUACUCCUGACUGACCGAUAGUGAACCAGUACCGUGAGGGAAAGGCGAAAAGAACCCCGGCGAGGGGAGUGAAAAAGAACCUGAAACCGUGUACGUACAAGCAGUGGGAGCCUCUUAAUGGGGUGACUGCGUACCUUUUGUAUAAUGGGUCAGCGACUUAUAUUCUGUAGCAAGGUUAACCGAAUAGGGGAGCCGAAGGGAAACCGAGUCUUAACUGGGCGUUAAGUUGCAGGGUAUAGACCCGAAACCCGGUGAUCUAGCCAUGGGCAGGUUGAAGGUUGGGUAACACUAACUGGAGGACCGAACCGACUAAUGUUGAAAAAUUAGCGGAUGACUUGUGGCUGGGGGUGAAAGGCCAAUCAAACCGGGAGAUAGCUGGUUCUCCCCGAAAGCUAUUUAGGUAGCGCCUCGUGAAUUCAUCUCCGGGGUAGAGCACUGUUUCGGCAAGGGGUCAUCCCGACUUACCAACCCGAUGCAAACUGCGAAUACCGGAGAAUGUUAUCACGGGAGACACACGGCGGGUGCUAACGUCCGUCGUGAAGAGGGAAACAACCCAGACCGCCAGCUAAGGUCCCAAAGUCAUGGUUAAGUGGGAAACGAUGUGGGAAGGCCCAGACAGCCAGGAUGUUGGCUUAGAAGCAGCCAUCAUUUAAAGAAAGCGUAAUAGCUCACUGGUCGAGUCGGCCUGCGCGGAAGAUGUAACGGGGCUAAACCAUGCACCGAAGCUGCGGCAGCGACACUAUGUGUUGUUGGGUAGGGGAGCGUUCUGUAAGCCUGUGAAGGUGGCCUGUGAGGGUUGCUGGAGGUAUCAGAAGUGCGAAUGCUGACAUAAGUAACGAUAAAGCGGGUGAAAAGCCCGCUCGCCGGAAGACCAAGGGUUCCUGUCCAACGUUAAUCGGGGCAGGGUGAGUCGACCCCUAAGGCGAGGCCGAAAGGCGUAGUCGAUGGGAAACAGGUUAAUAUUCCUGUACUUGGUGUUACUGCGAAGGGGGACGGAGAAGGCUAUGUUGGCCGGGCGACGGUUGUCCCGGUUUAAGCGUGUAGGCUGGUUUUCCAGGCAAAUCCGGAAAACCAAGGCUGAGGCGUGAUGACGAGGCACUACGGUGCUGAAGUGACAAAUGCCCUGCUUCCAGGAAAAGCCUCUAAGCAUCAGGUAACAUCAAAUCGUACCCCAAACCGACACAGGUGGUCAGGUAGAGAAUACCAAGGCGCUUGAGAGAACUCGGGUGAAGGAACUAGGCAAAAUGGUGCCGUAACUUCGGGAGAAGGCACGCUGAUAUGUAGGUGAAGCGACUUGCUCGUGGAGCUGAAAUCAGUCGAAGAUACCAGCUGGCUGCAACUGUUUAUUAAAAACACAGCACUGUGCAAACACGAAAGUGGACGUAUACGGUGUGACGCCUGCCCGGUGCCGGAAGGUUAAUUGAUGGGGUUAGCGGUAACGCGAAGCUCUUGAUCGAAGCCCCGGUAAACGGCGGCCGUAACUAUAACGGUCCUAAGGUAGCGAAAUUCCUUGUCGGGUAAGUUCCGACCUGCACGAAUGGCGUAAUGAUGGCCAGGCUGUCUCCACCCGAGACUCAGUGAAAUUGAACUCGCUGUGAAGAUGCAGUGUACCCGCGGCAAGACGGAAAGACCCCGUGAACCUUUACUAUAGCUUGACACUGAACAUUGAGCCUUGAUGUGUAGGAUAGGUGGGAGGCUUUGAAGUGUGGACGCCAGUCUGCAUGGAGCCGACCUUGAAAUACCACCCUUUAAUGUUUGAUGUUCUAACGUUGGCCCGUAAUCCGGGUUGCGGACAGUGUCUGGUGGGUAGUUUGACUGGGGCGGUCUCCUCCUAAAGAGUAACGGAGGAGCACGAAGGUUGGCUAAUCCUGGUCGGACAUCAGGAGGUUAGUGCAAUGGCAUAAGCCAGCUUGACUGCGAGCGUGACGGCGCGAGCAGGUGCGAAAGCAGGUCAUAGUGAUCCGGUGGUUCUGAAUGGAAGGGCCAUCGCUCAACGGAUAAAAGGUACUCCGGGGAUAACAGGCUGAUACCGCCCAAGAGUUCAUAUCGACGGCGGUGUUUGGCACCUCGAUGUCGGCUCAUCACAUCCUGGGGCUGAAGUAGGUCCCAAGGGUAUGGCUGUUCGCCAUUUAAAGUGGUACGCGAGCUGGGUUUAGAACGUCGUGAGACAGUUCGGUCCCUAUCUGCCGUGGGCGCUGGAGAACUGAGGGGGCUGCUCCUAGUACGAGAGGACCGGAGUGGACGCAUCACUGGUGUUCGGGUUGUCAUGCCAAUGGCACUGCCCGGUAGCUAAAUGCGGAAGAGAUAAGUGCUGAAAGCAUCUAAGCACGAAACUUGCCCCGAGAUGAGUUCUCCCUGACUCCUUGAGGGUCCUGAAGGAACGUUGAAGACGACGACGUUGAUAGGCCGGGUGUGUAAGCGCAGCGAUGCGUUGAGCUAACCGGUACUAAUGAACCGUGAGGCUUAACCUU
rnacentral:rRNA from 1 species